rnacentral:rRNA from 1 species
GACGAACGCUGGCGGCGUGCUUAACACAUGCCAGUCGAACGGAAAGGCCCCUUUGGGGGUCCUCGAGUGGCGAACGGGUGAGUAACACGUGAGUAACCUGCCCUUGACUUCGGGAUAACUUCAGGAAACUGGGGCUAAUACCGGAUAGGAAUCCUUGCUGCAUGGUGGGGGUUGGAAAGCUUCGGCGGUUUUGGAUGGACUCGCGGCUUAUCAGCUUGUUGAUGGGGUAGUGGCUUACCAAGGCUUUGACGGGUAGCCGGCCUGAGAGGGCGACCGGCCACAUUGGGACUGAGAUACGGCCCAGACUCCUACGGGAGGCAGCAGUGGGGAAUAUUGCACAAUGGGCGGAAGCCUGAUGCAGCAACGCCGCGGGCGGGAGGACGGCCUUCGGGUUGUAAACCGCUUUCAGCAGGGGCGAAGCUUGUGGUGACGGUACCUGCAGAAGAAGCACCGGCUAACUACGUG